UACGUAGGGUGCAAGCGUUGUCCGGAAUUAUUGGGCGUAAAGAGCUCGUAGGCGGUUUGUCGCGUCUGCUGUGAAAACCUGGGGCUCAACCCCGGGCCUGCAGCCGAUACGGGCAAACUAGAAUUCGGUAGGGGAGACUGGAAUUCCUGGUGUAGCGGUGAAAUGCGCAGAUAUCAGGAGGAACACCGGUGGCGAAGGCGGGUCUCUGGGCCGAUAUUGACGCUGAGGAGCGAAAGCGUGGGGAGCAAACAGG
rnacentral:rRNA from 1 species